UACGUAGGGGGCAAGCGUUAUCCGGAUUUACUGGGUGUAAAGGGAGCGUAGACGGCGAUGCAAGCCAGAUGUGAAAGCCCGGGGCUCAACCCCGGGACUGCAUUUGGAACUGUGUGGCUGGAGUGUCGGAGAGGCAAGUGGAAUUCCUAGUGUAGCGGUGAAAUGCGUAGAUACUAGGAGGAACACCAGUGGCGAAGGCGGCUUGCUGGACGAUGACUGACGUUGAGGCUCGAAAGCGUGGGGAGCAAACAGG
rnacentral:rRNA from 1 species